AAGCAGCUGGACAACUCCAGUGAACUGUGGGACAGAAAGGAGGCACAGACAGCAGAAUACAGUGCAUUUACUUCUCACAGUUAUUUGCAAGAGUGAAAAAGAAGAGGAGUCAGGAUGAAUGAAUUCUGCCUUCAUUUGUCCCUGUUUUCUUCAUGACACUUCAAUCCAGGUGAUGUUGCUUCAAGAGGAAACCAUAUCAGAUUAAGGUAUGCAAGAAACAAGUCUUUCUUGUAUUCAGUCUCUGAAAUAUGGGGACCACGGUUCUUGUUUGAAAAGGGGUAUUUUUUGUUUGU
rnacentral:lncRNA from 1 species